rnacentral:rRNA from 1 species
UACGUAGGGUGCAAGCGUUGUCCGGAAUUAUUGGGCGUAAAGAGCUCGUAGGCGGUUCGUCGCGUCGGCUGUGAAAUCCCGAGGCUCAACCUCGGGUCUGCAGUCGAUACGGGCGGACUGGAGUUCGGCAGGGGAGACUGGUAAUUCCUGGUGUAGCGGUGAAAUGCGCAGAUAUCGGGAGGAACACCGGUGGCGAAGGCGGUUCUCUGGGCCUGUACUGACGCUGAGGAGCGAAAGCGUGGGGAGCAAACAGG